rnacentral:rRNA from 1 species
UACGUAGGGGGCAAGCGUUAUCCGGAUUUACUGGGUGUAAAGGGAGCGUAGACGGCAAGGCAAGUCUGAUGUGAAAGGUGUGGGCUCAACUCACAAACUGCAUUGGAAACUGUUCUGCUAGAGUGCAGGAGAGGUAAGCGGAAUUCCUAGUGUAGCGGUGAAAUGCAUAGAUAUUAGGAGGAACACCGGCGGCGAAGGCGGCUUACUGGACUGUAACUGACGUUGAGGCUCGAAAGCGUGGGUAG